GACGUAGGGCGCGAGCGUUGUCCGGAUUUAUUGGGCGUAAAGCGCGUGUAGGCGGCUCGGUAAGUCUGCUGUGAAAGUCCAGGGCUCAACCCUGGAAUGCCGGUGGAUACUGUCGAGCUCGAGUCCGGAAGAGGCGAGUGGAAUUCCUGGUGUAGCGGUGAAAUGCGCAGAUAUCAGGAGGAACACCAAUGGCGAAGGCAGCUCGCUGGGACGGUACUGACGCUGAGACGCGAAAGCGUGGGGAGCAAACAGG
rnacentral:rRNA from 1 species